GCUCUUACCAACGGAUUCAGAAAGCACAGAGAUGGCGCCUCUGACUCAGAAUGCAGCUCAUCUCCGAUUCUCAGAGAACUUGUCUCAACUCCAAAAAAGAGCCGAGGGAAACCUGCUUUGUCCAAAGCACCUUUCUUAGAAACUGUUAACGGAGACUUUGACUACACUGGGACUGAUGCUCUGUCAAAUGGGGAUGCGCCUGAACCUGAACCUCUGGAUUUGGUGUGGGCAAAAAGUAGAGGAUAUCCGUCCUACCCUGCUCUGGUGAGAGAGGGCGCUCUACAUUCAUACU